rnacentral:tRNA from 1 species
GACCGUCGUGGUGGCGGUGCCCGUCACCGCGUCGCCCGCACCGGCGCCCGCGCCGAGCGCGGACGUCGUGUUCGAGCCGCGGGCGGACG